GGCUGGUCCGGAGGCAACGAGUGAGUCCUUUCCAGUGACUGCACAGUCCGUGGCAGACCAAACUCCUCCUCCUACUCUCUCUCCCCUUCUCACUACCACACUUCACUGGUCUAAA
rnacentral:Y_RNA from 1 species